rnacentral:rRNA from 1 species
AACGUAGGGGACAAGCGUUAUCCGGAUUUACUGGGCGUAAAGCGCCCGUAGGCGGCCUGACAAGUUGGACGUGAAAGCUCCUGGCUUAACUGGGAGAGGCCGUUCAAAACUGUCAAGCUAGAGUCUGGAAGAGGAGAGCGGAAUUCCCGGUGUAGUGGUGGAAUGCGUAGAGAUCCGGAGGAACACCAGUGGCGAAGGCGACACGCUGGGCCGUACCUGACACUGAUGCGCGACAGCAUGGGGAGCAAACAGG